AAGAACUUCUGAUACUUUUUCACUGCAGUCAAUGGAUGAGUUAAAGCGGCAUAAGGGACGUUUAGGACAUUCAAAGCCAAUGACUGAUUUAGCAGGGGAAGCAGAACAUGUGGCUGAGUCCAAGCUUGCAGGAGCAAAGGGAGGCCAUAAUUCCAAGGAAGAAGCUGCACUCUUCUGUGGUGGAGGUGGAGAUUCCGAUGAGAGAAUAAGUGACAUAUCGGAUUCUGAUGAGAGAAUAACUGAAACUGAUGAUUCUUCAGGCAGUGCAGUAGAACAAGCA
rnacentral:lncRNA from 1 species